UACGGAGGGUGCGAGCGUUGUCCGGAAUCACUGGGCGUAAAGGGCGCGUAGGCGGCCUGAUAAGUAGGGGGUGAAAUCCUGCGGCUUAACCGCAGGGCUGCCUUCUAAACUGUCAGGCUUGAGCACAGUAGAGGCAGGUGGAAUUCCCGGUGUAGCGGUGGAAUGCGUAGAGAUCGGGAAGAACAUCAGUGGCGAAGGCGGCCUGCUGG
rnacentral:rRNA from 1 species